UGCCAGCCCCGGGCCUGGAGGCUCCACGUACUCCCCUCCCCACCCCCCCCAGCUCGCCCCUCAACCCAGACUCUGAUCCCUCUCGGCCUUCCUCCCACCGUCCUGGGACGCAGCUGCCCUCCGUCCAGGCCCCGGCUCGCCUCCCGAGAAGAGCCCCUGGGUCUGCCCAGGAAGGACCCGCCCUGCUUUCCACCGGCCUCCUGGCCUAGAGCGUAACUCACCAUCCACCUGCUCCCUUCGCCUUGAAGAGUGCACCUGUGCGUGAAGGGAGAGUGGACGAGAGAGGGAGAGACAGAGAAACAUCGAUGUGAGACACACA